rnacentral:rRNA from 1 species
UACAGAGGUCCCAAGCGUUGUUCGGAUUCACUGGGCGUAAAGGGUGCGUAGGUGGCCAGGUAAGUUUGGUGUGAAAGCUCGGAGCUUAACUCCGAAACUGCAUUCGAUACUGCCAUGCUUGAGGACUGGAGAGGAGACUGGAAUUUACGGUGUAGCGGUGAAAUGCGUAGAUAUCGUAAGGAAGACCAGUGGCGAAGGCGGGUCUCUGGACAGUUCCUGACGCUGAGGCACGAAGGCCAGGGGAGCAAACGGG